UACGUAGGGGGCUAGCGUUGUCCGGAAUCAUUGGGCGUAAAGCGCGUGUAGGCGGUCCGGUAAGUCCGCUGUGAAAGUCGGGGGCUCAACCUCGAAUGCCGGUGGAUACUGUCGGGCUAGAGUGCGGAAGAGGCGAGUGGAAUUCCUGGUGUAGCGGUGAAAUGCGCAGAUAUCAGGAGGAACACCAAUGGCGAAGGCAGCUCGCUGGGACGGUACUGACGCUGAGGCGCGAAAGCGUGGGUAGCAAACAGG
rnacentral:rRNA from 1 species